GUGAGCAGAGUGCAAACCAGAUGUUGAACCACUGUGUUCCCUGAUUAGGGGGAGGACAGAGGGGAAGGCAACUCAAUUUGCAGCAAAAUCAAUUCAGGGGAAAUUUUGAGUAUUUGAAGUUCCAACUCAGAACUAAGCUUAUUGAAUAAUUUCCAGUGAAUGGAAAUGCCCAACUUGUGAAUAGUUCUACCCAAAUUAGGAGUCUCCGAAGUUUCUGUUAAAAUUAAAGAAUGAAUUUCUUCUUCCAUAAUUAACUUGUCGUAAGCAUUCAUGGAAUCAUCCUUUGCAUAGCUCUGAAAGAGAGGAACAACAUUUUUAACAGCACUUCCUCAUGUCACUAUAGAACUCGCUGCUGUAACAGUCGGGCUUUGGCUUUGCUUUCACUUUGAAGAUGUACUUGCUAUUGGGAUCAAUGCCAGAAAUCGACACAGAAUUCUCUUCAGACUAAGAUAAUGCCAGGAGCAGAGAAGUCUCCACUUCUAGGUUCAGAAAACCGAAUGUAGUCAGACCAUCUUCGCCUAUUACCUGUUCCACUAAAAAAACUUAGGUCGGGUUUUAGGAACAGCAUCGGAACAUUACAUUUGCAAAUAUUAAGUCCUUUUGAUCAUAUUAAAAAAUAAGUAUGUAUUUUUUCAGCAAGACUACACAUCUCCAAGCAUCUGAUGGUUUCGUGAUCAAACUCUUAAUUACCUACAAAAGCCAUGAACCAUUAAAAAUAUUACAGUGUCAUCCCUGGUUGCUAUUCUGAAGUU